rnacentral:rRNA from 1 species
UACAGAGGGGGCAAGCGUUGUUCGGAAUUACUGGGCGUAAAGGGCGCGUAGGCGGCCUUCUAAGUCGAACGUGAAAUCCCCGGGCUCAACCCGGGAACUGCGUCCGAGACUGGAAGGCUCGAAUCCGGGAGAGGGAUGUGGAAUUCCAGGUGUAGCGGUGAAAUGCGUAGAUAUCUGGAGGAACAUCGGUGGCGAAGGCGGCAUCCUGGACCGGUAUUGACGCGUGAGGCGCGAAAGCCAGGGGAGCAAACGGG